GAUUUUCGGGGCUCUGCUACAUCUGCCUCCCAGAUCUUCCCACUUAAUCUCUUGACCUGUGUAAAUCUCAACCAAGCAUCAUCAGGAGAACUUAUUACAUAGCUUCUGAUUCAGUAUGUUGCUGAAGAGCCAAGGACUGUCCAGUUGAAGCAAUCUCCCUGAUGAUACUGGCACUGCUAACCCCAGGACCACACAGACCAGCAAUGCCUCACAAGACCUCUGUGCUUCUUUCAAACAUUAUAUUCUACAAAGUCAUGUCAAUUGCUUUACCAGUCAUGUGGCUUGAAUAAAGAGCCUUCAUCCAGCAGCUGGUGGAAGUUGAAGCAGACACCCACAACUAAUCACUGAACUGAACUGGAAUCCAGUUGCAGAGAAGGAUGAAUGAAGAGCAAAGGGGUCCAGACCAGGCUGGUGAAACCCACAGAAACAGCUGAACUGAACAGGGAGCUCUUGGUCCCCAGAUUGAUAACCGGGAUACCAGUAUGGGACUGAUCCAGACCCCAGGAAUGUGAGUUUCAGUGAGGAGACCUCAAAUCUACAGGACCUCCUGUAGUUGUUCAGUACUUAUCCUUAGCAUAGUUGUGGACUUUGGGAGCCCAAUCCACAUACAGGUAUACUCCCUGAGCCAAGACACAUGGGGGUGGGCCUAGGCCCCAUCCCAAAGGAUAUGAUAGACUCUGAUGACACCCUAUGGAAGGCCUCACUGUCCCUGGGGAGCAGAAAGGAUAUGUGAUAGGUUGGG
rnacentral:lncRNA from 1 species